rnacentral:rRNA from 1 species
UCCGUAGGUGAACCUGCGGAAGGAUCAUUACCUAGAGUUGUAGGCUUUGCCUACCAUCUCUUACCCAUGUCUUUUGAGUACUUACGUUUCCUCGGUGGGUUCGCCCGCCGAUUGGACAAUUUAAACCAUUUGCAGUUGCAAUCAGCGUCUGAAAAACAUAAUAGUUACAACUUUCAACAACGGAUCUCUUGGUUCUGGCAUCGAUGAAGAACGCAGCGAAAUGCGAUAAGUAGUGUGAAUUGCAGAAUUCAGUGAAUCAUCGAAUCUUUGAACGCACAUUGCGCCCCUUGGUAUUCCAUGGGGCAUGCCUGUUCGAGCGUCAUUUGUACCUUCAAGCUUUGCUUGGUGUUGGGUGUUUGUCUCGCCUUUGCGUGUAGACUCGCCUUAAAACAAUUGGCAGCCGGCGUAUUGAUUUCGGAGCGCAGUACAUCUCGCGCUUUGCACUCAUAACGACGACGUCCAAAAGUACAUUUUUACACUCUUGACCUCGGAUCAGGUAGGGAUACCCGCUGAACUUAAGCAUAUCAAUAAGUCGGAGG